rnacentral:rRNA from 1 species
UACGGAGGGUGCAAGCGUUAUCCGGAUUCACUGGGUUUAAAGGGUGCGUAGGUGGGAAUGUAAGUCAGUGGUGAAAUCUCCGUGCUUAACAUGGAACUGCCAUUGAUACUAUGUUUCUUGAAUUUUCUGGAGGUCAGCGGAAUAUGUCAUGUAGCGGUGAAAUGCUUAGAUAUGACAUAGAACACCAAUUGCGAAGGCAGCUGGCUACAGGGAUAUUGACACUGAGGCACGAAAGCGUGGGGGAUCAAAACAGG